rnacentral:rRNA from 1 species
UACGUAGGAGGCAAGCGUUGUCCGGAAUCAUUGGGCGUAAAGAGCGUGUAGGCGGUCCGGUAAGUCCGCUGUGAAAGUCGGGGGCUCAACCCUCGAAUGCCGGUGGAUACUGUCGGGCUAGAGUGCGGAAGAGGCGAGUGGAAUUCCUGGUGUAGCGGUGAAAUGCGCAGAUAUCAGGAGGAACACCUAUUGCGAAGGCAGCUCGCUGGGACGUAACUGACGCUGAGACGCGAAAGCGUGGGGAGCAAACAGG